rnacentral:misc_RNA from 1 species
UUUCCGUAGGUGAACCUGCGGAAGGAUCAUUAAUGAAAUGCAUUCCUGGACAUGAGGGCUUUGAUUGAAACUGUCCACCCCCUCUCCCUGUAAAUAAAGAGUCUAGUCUUUUGGCUAUCUCUUCUGAACUUGUUUUGAAACGAUUUCUAAAUAAGAAUUGAAAUAAAACUUUCGACAACGGAUCUCUUGGCUUGUUCAUCGAUGAAGAACGCAGC